ACCUCUCGAUCACGUAGUACGGCGAGUGAGAGGAAGAGCUCAAGUUGGAAACUGUUUGGCUUAGCUAAACCGUAUUGUAAACUGUAUAAACAUUUUCCUGGCACACCAGAUUAAUAAGUCCUUUGGAACAAGGCAUCAUGGAGGGUGAGAAUCCCGUCUUUGAUCUGAGUAGUUGUCUUUUCCUCCGCUUAUUGAUAUGCACAGGUUGUUUGGGAAUGCAGCCUAAAUUGGGUGGUAAAUCUCACCUAAAGCUAAAUAUUUGCGAGAGACCGAUAGCGAACAAGUACCGUGAGGGAAAGAUGAAAAGAACUUUGAAAAGAGAGUUAAACAGUAUGUGAAAUUGUUAAAAGGGAACCGUUUGGAGCCAGACUGGUUUGCUUGUAAUCAACCUAGAAUUCGUUUUGGGUGCACUUGCAGGCUAUACCUGCCAACAACAGUUUGAUUUGGAGGAAAAAAUUAAUAGGAAUGUAACCUCUCGAGGUGUUAUACCCUAUUAUCAUACUCUGGAUUGGACUGAGGAACGCAGCGAAUGCCUUUAGGCAAGAUUGCUGGGUGCUUUCGCUAAUAAAUGUUACAAUUUCUGCUUCGGGUGGCACUAAUGUUUAAAGGAGGAACACAUCUAGUAUAUUUCAUCGCUAGCUGUGCUAACCGAUAACCU
rnacentral:rRNA from 1 species